rnacentral:sRNA from 1 species
AAUUGAUUCACAACCUGAGAGUGUCACAAUCCCCAUGUUGGAGAUCACUGCUCUACACUGCAGCUGCAGGAGAGGGGAGGCCAGAAGGCAGAGUGAGAAAUGGGGUCGGGGGUUUGAGUGCUUAUCUCAUCCACCCAUGAGAGCGAGUGGGCCUGCAGGACUCUGGAAAUUGAAUGAGAAUUUCUGCUCCAUCAGCUUCCUGCCUGGUCUCCUGCUCACAACUCAAUCCCCUCACCCACCCUCCUCCCAGCAGAAGGACACACGGAUUUUCCUGAAUCACAAUCUGAUCACUUCUAUCCCCUGCUUAAGACCUGUCUGUAGCUCGAGUACACUGAGAAGAACAGUUCUCACCAAGGCUCAUAAGGGGAGAUGGACAGGGGAAGCUAUGGGGAUGGUGGGAGCUUCCCUGGCCUCCCUGGACACCACAUCCUCUCAGCAUCUCCACAUGUUCAGCAACUGGGAAGUUCAACUCUAGUUUUUCAAGAGUUUUUAUAAAGUUUGGUCCUUAUCGCCUCGCCAUUGCCACUUUUCUUGGAAGUUGGGGGGUGAUACUGAAAGUUUCUACCCUCUAAUCCUCAAAUCUUUUGGUCUUUGUGAUGACUGGUAUGAUACUGAGGCUACCUGGGGACCCUUCCCUAAAUGACAUUUUUUUUUUUUUUUGAGAGGGAGUCUCACUCUGUCACCCAGGCUGAAGUGCAGUGGCAUGAUCUCAGCUCACUGCAACCUCCGCCUCCCAGGUUCAAGCAAUUCUCCUGCUUCAGCCUCCUGAGUAGCUGGGAUCACAAGCGCCCACCAGCAUGCCCAGCUAAUUUUUGUUUUUUUCAUAGAGACGGGGUUUCGUCAUGUUGGCCAGGCUGUUCUCAAACUCCUGACCUCAGAUGAUCCACCCGCCUCGGCCUCCCAAAGUGUUGGGAUUACAGGUGUGAGCCACCGCACCUGGUCCCUAAAUCACAUUUUUAGCAUGAACUCAGCUGGUGUGAUCUGAAAGAGGCUCAUCUGGAAAAACAAAAGACAUUCCUAUCAGUCAGGAGAUUCCAAGGUUAGCUUCAUGGUAGGAACGAGAGUCAAAGAACAAACAUUUUCAUGUUAUAGCACGCCCAGUAAGCCAUGGGUUCAUCAGAUUGGACUCUCCUUACUCUGCCCAAUUGGCAGCAUUUGUGAGUUAUCAAUCCCAAGCGAGGACUCCCACUGCAGGGAGGAUGGCAAAGGUCACCACUGCGCUAACCACCCGGAAUAGGGGUCUGAACACUUCAGCCACUGCAUCUUAGGCUGCACUCUGACUACACUGAGUGUGGUGAACAGAACACCCACAACCACAGCCAGUUCAACAAAGCAGGUUAAUUACUUACAGGCAGCGAGGGACAGCGGAAGCCUAGGCUUCGUGACUGUUCAUCUCUCUGUAUGACAAGAACAUUCAAUUUUUGGAUAUUGUCAGCUUCCCAGCCUUUCCUCAGUCACAUCCAGUGCACAUCUGGGCAUACCAUGUGCUUUCUGUCUUGGCAGCAGAAGGACAUUCAAACUGGUCUCCUGAGGCUCAGGAGCACUUCCCAGGGCAGAUGAAGUCUCCCAUGCCUGCCCCACUUGCACCACAGCUGAGGACUCAGCAGUGAGCUCUGGGUUUUAUAUGUGGUGGACACACCCUGGGCUAGUGUGGCAGGACACCCUCUCUAGGAGGGAUGGGAAUGAGGCCAGGGCUGUCCUGGGCAGUUUCUCUUUAGCUCAAGGUGUUGCAUUCUCUCGGAGGAAUAGAAACCAAGCUUGGGCACUUUCAGGCAGUUCCUCCUUACUCAGGGUGGUGCAUUCUUAUAUAAUUUGGCUCUGUCUUGCCACACAAAUCUCAUCUCACAUUGUAAUCCCCAUGUGUCCGGGGAAGGAUCUGGUAGGUGAUUGGAUCAUGGGGGCAGUUUUUUCCAUGCUGUUCUCCUGAUAAUGGGGGAGUUCUCAGGAGAUCUGAUGGUUUAAAAGUGUGUAGAAGUUCCCGGCUCACUCUCUUUCUCUCCUGCCACCAUGGAAGGCGUGCCUUGCUUUCCCUUCGCCCUCCAGCAUGAUUGUACAUUUCCUGAGGCCACCUUGCCAUGCAGAACUAUGAGUCAAUUAAACCUCUUUCCUUUAUAAAUUACCCAGUCUGGGGCAGUUUUUUUUAGCAGUGUGAAAAUGGACUAAUACACAUUUCUAGUGUAUUCUACAGUGAUUCUGGGAACUGUGGGCAAGAAGACAGGUGGGAAAGCCAGAGCCAUCCAAUGUUUGUCUUCUGGUGCCCUCCUCCAGGAAGCCAUUCCUGGUGCCCUGGGCGCUGCUCCCAGCCUUGCUCACCCUGGGUCAUCACUGUUUUUGGAGGGUCUGUGUCCUCCCCAGACUAUAAGACCCAGAAAAGCAGGGCCUAGAGCUAAGUCACAAUCGUGUCUCCAGCAUCCACUGACACAGAGUAAGUGCACAGCGUGUGUUAAAUGAAUGAAAGAAAAGUGAAAGCAUGAUGAAAGCCCUGUGUUCAGGGCGUGUCUUACUCAACCUGUCUGUCCUGUCAUGGUGACUUGGUGAGAAUUGUUGCCUGAAGGUCUUUAAAGCUCUCUCCCUUCCAGGGCUUCCGCAUGGAGCUGCUUCUCAGCUGUGCCCUACGGGGUCAGAUGCACUGGGGAAGAACUAAGGCUCUUCUCCACAGCCCACCUUCUGUCCCCUUAGCCCUCCCAACAUAAGACACUCCACCUCCAGGGCUGCAGGAGCCCAGGCUGUCAACAGCGUCAGCAUCCUGCUAGAAGAGGAUAGGGAUGGCUGGGACUCAGAAGAGCCUUCUAGAUUCCUAAGUUUAUUAAUCCUUUCACUGCAACUACUAGGAAAAAUAGGUGUGACAUCAUUACUGGGUUACACGUAGUCACACACACACACAAAAGUGAAAGCAAAAAUUGGCAAGGAUAUAUCAGCUUCCCUCAGGGGAGUGGCUUCUUCAACUUUGAUCCCAAAUGACUUAUUUCAGAGGAAACCUCCUCCCCUCUCCUCAGAACAAGCACAUUCACACAGGAAGGGAUUAAAUUCCUGCAAAGAAGAAGAGGGACAACUUCCACUGGUCCUUUGGUCUUAACUGUCUUGGGCCAUAAUGUAUUUGAGAGUCCGGUAAUGACUGUGGACUUUUUUGCUCAGAAUAUCACAGAUGAUUGCCAAACGUCGUGAAAUGCCACUGAAUCGCACACUUGAAAACACACACAUACACAGAAAAACUUAAGUAAACACAUAUACUUAAUUGUGGGGUUGCAGGGGGAGAGCGGAAAGAAACAUCCAGACAUGUGGUGGUAAAUAUUCUGCUCUGGUUCAGCUAAAAAUAAAGCCCUUCAUCAGUUUGGUCACUGG